rfam:Ornithorhynchus anatinus chromosome 7, whole genome shotgun sequence.
AGCAGCAUGGCCUAGUGGAAGGAGUGUGGGCUGGGGAGUCAGAGGACCUGGGUUCUAAUCCCAGUUCUGUCA